CAUUCCCCUCCCCCCCACCCCACACAGCAUCACCUACAGAUUUAAUUUCUUGAAUAUGCCUCGAAACGUGGUUCGGUUUGCUCAUAUUUUGCUUUUCCACUUUAUGCCCCAAAUUAGUGGCCUGUGCUUCUGUUUGGGAGGAGUGCUGGCAGUUUGCUCACAAUUCAUUCAAGAAGUUAUCUGCGGCAGUUUUACAUGAUGUAAAAUGUUAAAAUAGCUGAUUUUUAAAUUCAGUAAUUCUACUUAACAGCUAUGGGGUUUUUUUUCUCAUCAAUGCCCAUUGAUAGCAAUUUCAUUUCCACAACAGUUUGGUGGUUAAAAUUGAACAUACCUAUUUAGAUUGCACUACAGUUACCUCUUAAAUGUUAAUAUUUGUAUGUUCACAUCACUUCAGCUUAUCAAUAUUGAACUGUGGAUUUUAAAAAUGAGAAUGAUUGUACAGAGGAAAUAUACUGAUUCCACAUCAGGCAGUAUGCAUAGAGAGUCAGAAAAGCUCUCUUGCAAGCUGGACCUUUCUGCUUGCUAUCAAAUGCACUGUUAAUUUUAGUGGGAUUACUUUGAAACCAUAACAUUAAAAUAAAGUUGAAGCGAGUUAACCAGGGGUAGUUAAAUGCAAAUAUUGCACUAAAUAUAUGGACACAGUUUAAAGAGAGACUCUUAAUGUUUAGUUGGUCGUUUGGAGCAUUAAUGGACCUUUUGUCCUGAUCUAGGAACAUUUUGUACUUGUGUUUGAGAUUAUCAAGGCGGGUAAGUCCAUGACUACUAAACCAGGUCUCAAAACAAUGAAGUUGACAUUGUGGAGCAGAAAGUCAGUGUAGGUGAAAGGCCACAGCAUGCCAUGAAUAGGAAACGUUACAGGAGGUGAACUCGAACGAAAUCAAGAUACAAGAAAAGUUGCGCAAAAUACUAAACGAAGGUUAUUAAUUGCACACAUCUCCAGUAGCCCUAGAGCAGAACAGCAGGCUAUUUUGGAUUGAGCUUCUCAACACAUCAUUGCUGUCUACUGAUCUGAUAAAAGGCUUCUGAACCUACUCCCCGAUGGCAGUAACAUGAAGAGGGCAUGUCCUGGAUGAUGAAGGUCCUUAAUGAUGGAUGCUGCCUUCUUGAAGCAUCACCUUUUGAAGAUGACUUGAUGGCGGUGAGGGUUGUGCAUGUGGUGGAACUAACUGAGUCCACGACCCUCUGCAGCUUGUGAUACUGUGCAUUGGAGACAAGACGACAAUGUAACCAGUCAGAAUGAUCUCUACUGUACAUGUAGAAAUUAGCAAGAGUCUUUGACAUACCAAAUCUCCUCAAACUCCUAAUGAAGUAUGGCUGCUAGCUUGCCGCCUUUGUAAUUAGAUCUAAUGUAUUAGGUGAAUAUAGAUCCUCUGAGUGGUGCAGGUACCUGAAGCUGCUCGCCCUUUUCAUUGACGUCAAUGAGGACCGGGGUGUGUUCUCCUGACUUCCCCCUGAAGUCCACAUUCAGUUCCUUGGUCUUGCUGAUGUUAAUUGUGAGGCUGUUGUGAUGCCAAUCAACCAGUUGACCUUACUCUUCCCUGUGUGCCUUCUCAUUGCCAUUUGAGAUUCUGCCCACAACAGUUGUGUUAUCAGUGAAUUUCUAGAUGGUGUGGGGCUGUGCCUAGCCACACAGUUAUGACUGAAGAUAGUAGAGCAGUGGGUUAAGUAAACAUCCUGGAUGUGUGCCUGCGUUGGUUGUCAGUGAGAAGGAGAUGGUGUUACUGUCUGCACAGACUGGAGUCUUCUAAUGAGGAAGUCAAGGAUUCACUUGUAGGAUGAGUACAAAGACCAGGUUUUGCAGCUUGUUAAUUAGGAGUUGGGGGGGGGGGGGUGCUGAAUUUCUACAGAUGCACAGUAGAGAGCACUGACUGAAACUUUGAAGGUAGUAGAUUUUUGGGAUUCUGUGCUUGAGGCCUGUGUAAUUCCACGAGUAUUUCCAAACUGAUUUGUGGGUGUUUCGUUAUUAAGGGAAUCAAUGGACGUUGUGUUAGUAUAACAAAGGGAUUGGUGGGGAAGAGGUUUGGAGAAAUCACUCACAAUAUUGAACAAUAGGACAGACACAACGUUAUUUGAAUUCUGUAGCAUUAAUUUAGUUGCAAAACCUGAAUCCAAACAUGAGAUGGAAGGAAUGGAGAAAAACAAGCAGAAUUGAUAAUUGGGGUGAAGUGAUGCUUGUGGAUUAUACAUAGGCCUGGUUAACUCAACUGGCCUUUAACUGUGCCUUGCUUUUUAUGUAAUUUUUCUCUCAAGAAAAUUGAAGAGUUCUAUUCAUAUUGGAACCAAACUGUCAUUGAAUACACUCAAUACACCUGAAUGGAGGAAUGUUUAAUUCAAGUUGUUUUGAUAUGUCUUACUACUGUUGAUCAUGAUUUCACAGUUCUCCCAUGCCCUUGGAUACUGUGAAAUGAGUGCUAAUUUUACUUCUCUUUGUUAGUAGUAAAUUGAAUUUGCUAAAUACCUGUACAGUGAUUUGAAUGCUUGCCAGAUCAGUUCUGGAAAUCUUUGAUGUAUCUGAUUUGAUCAGCUUAUUUACAAAUUCUAGCUAUGUAGAAUAGGAACCAAUUAGGAUGUUUAGAAACUAUAGAUCAUCGUUGAGAAGGGUUCUUUUAAUGACUAGUCCUGUCCAUGCAUAUUGUAAAGAAUUAUGUACAAGUUGGUGGUUGCAAUAUUUUGAGUAUAUGGCAGCAGAAAUGAAACUGCCCAAAUGUAAAUCGUGUAAGCAAUAAACAUCAACAUUGUAUUCUCUUUUUGUAUUUAUUGCUUAAUUUAAAUUCCACUGGUUUAUGGCAAUAUCAUGAAUUUUUAGAGUCAAUAAUAUCAGAUUCUU